UACGUAGGGUGCAAGCGUUGUCCGGAAUUAUUGGGCGUAAAGAGCUCGUAGGCGGCUUGUCGCGUCUGCUGUGAAAUCCCGAGGCUCAACCUCGGGCCUGCAGUGGGUACGGGCAGGCUAGAGUGCGGUAGGGGAGAUUGGAAUUCCUGGUGUAGCGGUGGAAUGCGCAGAUAUCAGGAGGAACACCGAUGGCGAAGGCAGAUCUCUGGGCCUUAGACUGACGCUGAGGUGCGAAAGCGUGGGGAGCGAACAGG
rnacentral:rRNA from 1 species